rnacentral:lncRNA from 1 species
UUUUUCUUCUUUUCCCUCCCCUUUCCCCCACCAGACCUCAACCGCCUGGUGGCCACCUUCUCCCACCCCUCCUCAGACCGCUGACCUGGGUCCUCCUGGUCGGACGACGAGGAGCCGUCCAGCAAGGGCGGGGACCAGUCCGUGCUGGGGUCCUGGGUUGCGUCCUGGGCUGCAUCCCUCCGUGGUGGGCGAUGGAGGGCCCUGGGUCUCCGUCGUCCUCGGCGGCGGGCUUGGAAGGGCGUUCGGCAGGUGCCCCGGCAGCCGGUGCUGCGGCGUCCUCCUCCGACGGGGCCCGGUCCCGGUUGACGGCCUGUAAAUCGUCCGUAAACAGGCUCGCAAAUGUGCCGCGGCGGGAAGGGCAGGAACAGAAGAGGUGGCCCUCGCUUCCGCAGAGGCUGCAGGUCUUGGGGGCCCCGCACUCCGCGGCCCCGUGGUCCCCCGCCUGGCAGAACCUACACCUACGCCCCGUGCAGGCCUCCUUCGUGUGGCCGAGGCCGCCGCAGCGGCGGCAGUAGAGGGGCUGCCCGGGGUAGUGGAGGAACCCCCGGUGCGGACCGAUGGCGAAGCUCCCCGGGGGGUGAAGCAGUCCCCCGGGGACGGCCGGGUCCACACGAAGCCGAACCAGGAACCUCCUCUUGCCGUUUCAGAUCCCGAACCUGCCCUUCACCCUCUCCACCGGCGACACCGAGGAGCAGUAUCUUCCCAGGAAGGCCUGGACGAUCCCAUCCUCUACGUGAGGGUUGAAGAGGUGGACCGUCACCGGGACCUCAUCCAUCGCGAAGAGGGGGACGCAGCGGAGUCCCCGGAGUACCUCUUCUUCCGUCCCUCUGCUGCACCGGUCGAACAAGGCAGCGCAGUCCGAGUAGGACGCCAGGGUGACGUCCAUGAAGCCCGCCGCCGCGAAGUCCUGGAGACAGAAGAUCCUCGACGGGCCCAGUCCAGCAAAGUCCCGGAGGAUCCUCUGGACGACGAAGUCCCAACCAAACCUGGCCCUGUCCGCAGCAUCCGCAUCGGGAAGCAGCUCCAGCUGAACCGUGUUCUUGAGUCGCACCACUCGGGCCGACGUUGGCGCUCUCCCGGCCAUGCUCUUUUAGGCAAGCGUAGACCGUUCUUAAAAGAACAGAUACUACACUUGAUCUUAGCCAAAAGGCCGAGAAGCGAUAACCCGAAUAUCGCCACCUGGUUGCGGGGCCCUCCUU